AUUGAACGCUAGCGGGAUGCUUUACACAUGCAAGUCGAGCGAGCGGCGGACGGGUGAGUAAUGUAUGGGGACUGCCCGAUAGAGGGGGAUAACUACUGGAAACGGUAGCUAAUACCGCAUACUAUCGGAUAACCCAUAUGGGAUUAGCUAGUAGGUGAGGUAAUGGCUCACCUAGGCGACGAUCCCUAGCUGGUCUGAGAGGAUGAUCAGCCACACUGGGACGAAGACACGGCCCGGACUCCUACGGAGGCAGCAGUGGGGAAUAUUGCACAAUGGUCGCAAUCCUGAUGCAGCCAUGCCGCGUGUAUGAAGAAGGCCCUAGGGUUGUAAAGUACUUUCAGUCGGGAGGCGUGACCGACAGAGGAAGCACCGGCUAACUCCGUGCCAGCAGCCGCGGUAAUAC
rnacentral:rRNA from 1 species